rnacentral:other from 1 species
UACAAGCUGCAUUGUUCGUAUCGACAUUAAGUUUUAACCUUUAAGCUGUAAAAGGGAGUUUUAAUUGAAACUGGAAUGGCAAGCCUCGUUCUUCUCGAACAACGAGGACAUACAGGAACGUUUCUGCAAACACCCACUUUGAGGAGUGGUGGUUUAAAACUUUCUAAUCACGUACGACAAAGGCGGCUUCCUA